ACUCAAAGGAAUAGACGGGGACCCGCACAAGCGGUGGAGCAUGUGGUUUAAUUCGAGGCAACGCGAAGAACCUUACCAGGCCUUGACAUGGGUAGUAUGGUUUCCAGAAACGGAAUCCUUCAGUUUGGCUGGCUACCACACAGGUGCUGCAUGGCUGUCGUCAGCUCGUGUCGUGAGAUGUUGGGUUAAGUCCCGCAACGAGCGCAACCCUCAUCCUUAGUUGCCAACAGGUAAUGCUGGGAACUCUAAGGAAACUGCCGGUGAUAAGCCGGAGGAAGGUGGGGAUGACGUCAAGUCUUCAUGGCCCUUACGGCCUGGGCUACACACGUGCUACAAUGGCGGUGACAAUGGGCAGCUAACCCGCAAGGGCAUGCAAAUCUCAAAAAACCGUCUCAGUUCGGAUUGCACUCUGCAACUCGAGUGCAUGAAGCUGGAAUCGCUAGUAAUCGUAGAUCAGCACGCUACGGUGAAUACGUUCCCGGGUCUUGUACACACCGCCCGU
rnacentral:rRNA from 1 species